GGGCCCGCACAAGCGGCGGAGCGUGCGGUUUAAUUCGACGCAACGCGUAGAACCUUACCAGGGCUUGACAUGCACCUGCAGAGCCGUGAAAGCGGUUGGCCUUCGAGGGUGGUGCACAGGUGCUGCAUGGCUGUCGUCAGCUCGUGUCGUGAGAUGUUGGGUUAAGUCCCGCAACGAGCGCAACCCUCGUGGUUAGUUGUCGAUGUUUCUAGCCAGACUGCCGGUAGCAAGCCGGAGGAAGGUGGGGAUGACGUCAAGUCAGCAUGGCCCUUACGUCCUGGGCUACACGCACGCUACAAUGGCCGGGACAAUGGGCUGCCAAACCGCAAGGUGGAGCGAAUCCCACAAACCCGGUCUCAGUUCAGAUCGCGGGCUGCAACUCGCCCGCGUGAAGGUGGAGUCGCUAGUAACCGCAGGUCAGCACUACUGCGGUGAAUACGUUCCCGGGCCUU
rnacentral:rRNA from 1 species